rnacentral:rRNA from 1 species
GAUGAACGCUGGCGGCGUGCCUAAUACAUGCAAGUCGAGCGAACGGACGAGAAGCUUGCUUUUCUGAUGUUAGCGGCGGACGGGUGAGUAACACGUGGAUAACCUACCUAUAAGACUGGGAUAACUUCGGGAACCCGGAGCUAAUACCGGAUAAUAUUUUGAACCGCAUGGUUCAACAGUGAAAGACGGUCUUGCUGUCACUUAUAGAUGGAUCCGCGCUGCAUUAGCUAGUUGGUAAGGUAACGGCUUACCAAGGCAACGAUGCAUAGCCGACCUGAGAGGGUGAUCGGCCACACUGGAACUGAGACACGGUCCAGACUCCUACGGGAGGCAGCAGUAGGGAAUCUUCCGCAAUGGGCGAAAGCCUGACGGAGCAACGCCGCGUGAGUGAUGAAGGUCUUCGGAUCGUAAAACUCUGUUAGUAGGGAAGAACAUAUGUGUAAGUAACUGUGCACAUCUUGACGGUACCUAAUCAGAAAGCCACGGCUAACUACGUG